UGGGGAAUUUUGGACAAUGGGCGAAAGCCUGAUCCAGCAAUGCCGCGUGUGUGAAGAAGGCCUUCGGGUUGUAAAGCACUUUUGUCCGGAAAGAAAUCCUUGGCUCUAAUACAGUCGGGGGAUGACGGUACCGGAAGAAUAAGCACCGGCUAACUACGUGCCAGCAGCCGCGGUAAUACGUAGGGUGCAAGCGUUAAUCGGAAUUACUGGGCGUAAAGCGUGCGCAGGCGGUUUGCUAAGACCGAUGUGAAAUCCCCGGGCUCAACCUGGGAACUGCAUUGGUGACUGGCAGGCUAGAGUAUGGCAGAGGGGGGUAGAAUUCCACGUGUAGCAGUGAAAUGCGUAGAGAUGUGGAGGAAUACCGAUGGCGAAGGCAGCCCCCUGGGCCAAUACCGACGCUCAUGCACGAAAGCGUGGGGAGCAAAACAGGAUUAGAUACCCCUGGUAGUCCACGCCCUAAACGAUGUCAACUAGUUGUUGGGGAUUCAUUUCCUUAGUAACGUAGCUAACGCGUGAAGUUGACCGCCUGGGGAGUACGGUCGCAAGAUUAAAACUUAAAUGAAUUGACGGGGUCAUAGCUGUUUCCU
rnacentral:rRNA from 1 species